rnacentral:rRNA from 1 species
CCUACGGGAGGCAGCAGUGAGGAAUAUUGGUCAAUGGGCUUACGCCUGAACCAGCCAAGUCGCGUGAGGGAAGACUGCCCUCUGGGUUGUAAACCUCUUUUGUCAGGGAGCAACGCCGGCUACGUGUAGCCGGACUGAGAGUACCUGAAGACAAAGCAUCGGCUAACUCCGUGCCAGCAGGCGCGGUAAUACGUGGGAUGCGAGCGUUAUCCGGAUUUGUUGGGUUUAAGGGGUGCGUAGGCGGAAUGCAAAGUCAGCGGUAAAAUCGCGGGGCUAAACCUCGCUCCGCCGUUGAAACUGGCGUACUUGAGUGGGCGAGAAGUAUGCGGAAUGCGUGGUGUAGCGGUGAAAUGCAUAGAUAUCACGCAGAACACCGAUUGCGAAGGCAGCAUACCGGCGCCCAACUGACGCUGAAGCACGAAAGCGUGGGUAUCGAACAGGAUUAGAUACCCGAGUAGUC